UAGGGAAUCUUCGGCAAUGGGGGGAACCCUGCCCGCGCAACGCCGCGUGAGUGAAGAAGGCUUUCGGAUCGUAAAGCUCUGUUGUUAAGGAAUAACUAGUGUGAGAAUGGAAAGUUCUUACUGUGACGGUACUUAACCAGAAAGGGACGGCUACCUACGUGCCAGCAGCCGCGGUAAUACGUAGGUCCCGAGCGUUGUCCGGAUUUAUUGGGCGUAAAGCGAGCGCAGGCGGUUAGAUAAGGCUGAAGUUAAAGGCAGUGGCUCAACCAUUGUAGGCGUUGAAAACUAUUUAACUUGAGUGCAGAAGGGAGGAGGGGAAUUCCAAGAAGAGCGGUGAAAUGCGAAGAUAUUUGGAGGAACACCGAUGGCGAAAGCGGCGCUAUGGACUGUAACUGACGCUGAGGCUCGAAAGCGUGGGGAGCGAACAGG
rnacentral:rRNA from 1 species